AAAAAAAAAAAAAAAAAAAAAGUGCUGGAUACAGAAAGAAGUAGAGGGUUCUCCGUUCCUCUUCAGACGUAGAGCACCGCUGCAAGCACAUAGAGGAAGAAAAAUCUAUGGGCAUCAACACCGUUAGGCUACAUAUCUGCCACCAUCAAAUCGUCGGAACCGGUUCCGGGUUACGUUUUUGGUCCAGCACCACCCAUCUCCGGCUCCAUUCAAUCACAGCCUCAACGGUGAUUUUGGUUUAGGGUUAUGUUUCUCUGCUCUGUUAGUUGUCUGCCCCCAUCACUUCUCUUCAACGGUGUAUUAGGAAGAUUAGUCAUCCCUGACUUAUAAGACUUUUGGCUACUAUUCGAGAAGAACUACUGAAUUAAAUUGAAAGGAAA